UGCAUUCAAGAAACUACCGUGUCACUGAUCGGUGCUUUGAUCUCCGGCUAGCCCAUUAACCAUUCUGAACCUCAGAUUCCUCUUCUGUUGUGUGGGAAUGGUGAAUGAUUUGGGGAAGGUUAAAUAAAAUAGUCCAUGCUAUUAUGCUCUAUAUAUGUUGACUGACCCUAAGGCAGUCUUGAAAACCUUCUUUAAAGAAAUUCUGCUUCCCCCUACCACUCCACAGAGGAUGCUAUAACAGACAAUGUAGCCACAACCUCUCAUACCCAUCUUCACAGCUUAGCCACCUAUACCCUUUUCUAGACCAUUUCCCCCUCCCUUUCAUGCUUUCUUUAGCCAAGCGACUUUUGAUUGUGCUUCAGACCAUUUCCAACACUAUUAUAAUUACAUAGCAACGUCUUUUCAUAAUGUGAAGAGGAACAAUUGAGCAAAAUUUGCAAGGGCUCCUGUCCUCCACCCCCAACACUCCUUCACGCAGCUGCUGUUGGCACCUUUCUUUCCCUACUGAGAAGUGAGGCCCCUGCGCUUUCAGGCAUUUGGCUACUAUUGUGGGUCGUUCCAUUGUCACUCCGGUUUCAAGAGCCUGAAAUAAUAUGGCAUUGCCCAUCAUGUCUGAAUCACUUUUUUCUUGAUUUUAAUCGAGUGUCAGCUAUGGUGGCGGUACAUGCACUUGGAAUGGGGAAUGAGGAGUGGAUCCUGGAGUCCCAAUAGUGGCAAGUAAAUAGUAACCUUUGGGCUUUGAAAACCUUUGGUUUUCAAAGAGUCCCGGGCCUGACUCAGCCUCAAACAAGAGGGAACGCGGUCUGUGGGGGCCUUUACAGAAGUAACCUGCAUUUCGGCAAAAGCAUGAAGUUCAAUCAAAAUUACUCAGAGUGGAGAAUGGCUUUCUCCUUGCAUGAAUGAGAAAGGUGAGACACAACUUUUGUUUUGCCUGCUGAGUUCUCUGCAGGGUUUAUCUGUUUGGACCAAGUGUUGAAGCCUCAUCGCAGGGUUCAGGUUAACCACUGUGUGUCCACCUUGUGGAUGAACAGGACUAGAAAGUGGGUGUUUAGAGCUUGUGCUGGGCAGGUGCUGGGCAAACAGGGAAGGGAGUCUGUAUGGAUUUACAGCCCAACGCUGGUCCUUCCCCAGGUGUCUGUUUGCUUCUGUGCUUGAGUUAGUCAGUGUCCUUUUUGCUCUACUUAUUGGAUUAUAGCUCUGAGCCUUGCUGCAUUUCGUAGCAGGAACAUGAGCUCUUACUGGGGAGGUGGAGAGGAUGUGGCUCACUAGCACUAUCUUGGUGUGUUUCUUUCUCUUGGGGAUUCAUUUCCCAAGUUCAGGAUGUGGCAUAGAGCUUCCCUGGUCUUCUGAAGAGCCAAACUCAAGGCUGCUAGCAGGGCAUUGGCAACAGAGGACCUGCUGCCUUGGGACAGAUACUGCCAGUUAGGAAUAAAUUUCUUUUCUUUUUAAAAAAAAUUUAAUGUUUAUUUAUUUUUGAGAGAGAGACAGAGAGAGAGAAAGAGAGAGAAAACACAAGUAGGGGAAGGGCAGAGAGAGGGAGACAGAAUCCUAAGCAGGCUCCAGGUUCUGAAGUAUCAUUACAGAGCCCGAAGUGGGGCUUGAACCCACAAACCGUGAGAUCGUGACCUGAGCCGAAGUAGGAGGCUCAAUGACUGAGCCACCCAGGUGUCCUGAGGAAUAAAUUUCUAAGUGUUUCAGGGUGCUCAAGCACGGCUGAAUGAAUUCCUUGGCUGGUUUAUUCUUACACUUUGAGAGCAGCUUCCAUAGUGCAGUGAAAACACAGAAUGCAGGAAAAUGCUGUUAAGUUAGGCAUCCUGGGGGCUCUGAGUAGAUGGAUCCGUUUUGGGAGCUUGCUCUGAGAAAUUUGGAAACCAAUCGUUGCAGUGGCCUCCAGACUGGAAUUUAUACCAUCAUCUCUCCUGGGUCUCCAGCAUGCUGACUGUGGAUUUUGAGACUUCUCAACCUCCAUAACCAUGAGACCCUAGGACCUUGACUUCUCAGCGAUGUUCUGUGGAUCACCCAGAUUCCUUGGUGGGUAAGAGGGGACCUAAGUGGAGGUCAUGAGGAGGAGACGAAGAUGGAAGAGGGAAUUGGACUUUAGACUUUAGGAUAUUCAUUCCAUUUUCAACCAGAGAAGUUUUGCUUUUAUUAAUUUCAUUUGAAAAAUAAAGGCUAUAAUUGGUGUGAAGAGCACUAGAUCUAAGGAAUCUCUGGGUAAAACAUUUGCAUAUGUCAAUCAUUUGGACUACUUUCAGUUUUAAUCAACCGGAAAUCCAAUUUUGAUCCUGCACAUGUUUGGAAAAAGUGGCCUGAACAUAGCUGAAAAGAGUUGUCACAAAGCCCAUGAACUCGAUUCUCAGGAGAGGUCUGGAUCUACCUGCAGGUCCUUACUCGAUGGCCAGUGGACUUCAAAUGGCUUUAAAGAUAAGGUUUCUGAUUUAACAAUCCUGGUUACUAGAUUUCAACAGCAUAUAUCAGCAGAGAGCUAUUGGAAGCUGACAUGCUGCAAAGUCAUAGAUGCCACGGCAGAGGAACUGUGUUAAGACUUAGUCACCUGCUGCACUGGAAGGACUAUCUUAUAGUGGGGUGAAAUAUGGAGUCUAGACUCUGACAGGUUUGGGUUCAUGACCGAGUCUGGCCCCUUACUUGCUUUAUGACUUUGAGUCUCAUUGUUAUUGUCUGUAAAAUGGGCAUAGUAGUCAAGCUGUACUUGAAUCUGACAGGACAGCUCUUUCACAGAACUUCUGGACCUUCCCAGAGCUUUCCUGUCAGCCUGCUACAGAAGAAUCCCCUUGGCUGGUGGUUAAACAUAUAGAUCCUUCUACCCCCAGGCUGCCCGAAUCUGAAUCAUCAGGGGAAGGGCCAGUAAUAUGACCAUAUAACCAAAGCCCCAGGGGAUUCUGAGCUGCCCCACUUUAGAGGUAGCUUGAUAAACCCCAAUAAAGGUUCCUGGGGAACUAAAGAAUGGGGAAUUCCCAGCCUAUGGUGACCCUGGCCCCAUGUCCUUUUCUUCCUAAACCUGUGUCCUCUCUAUUGGUAGAGGAGCAUCUUCCUUGGUGCUUUGAAAGUCACAACUCAUUACUGCUUCUUGUCAGGGCCAGAGUGCAACCAGUCAAAACCCUGUGAAGGUGAGUCACAUGGUUUUUUUUUUUUUUUUCUUUCCAUACUUAAGGGAAAGGCUAAAAGAAGCAAUUGAAUGCCAAUUAAUUGACUUUUAUAUCUAAGAGACCAGCAUGGAUGUCCCUUUAAAUAAAUAGUUUUAUUAAAAUGUACACUCAUGUGUAUUUGAAGAUGAGUGAUUGUGUACUUCUUGCACCAGGCUGAAAAGGGGCUACGUUAUCUUAGUGGUCUUGGAGGGCUUCAAAGAAGAAAAGAGCUCUCAUUUUGAUUGCAGUGUCAAAGUGUUAUGGCUGUCAACCCAGUUAUGCCUGAAUAAUUUUAAGAGGCUUCAUUAUAAAUAAAACUGAAUCCUGUUUUCUGUAAUAUUUCUGUUUGCACAAGGCAUGUGGCAUAGAGAAGGCUAUUGUAAACAUUUGUGACCCCAUUUGGCCUGUGUGUUUUUCUGCAUCAGACUGAAAAUCCUGACUGGCAGACAGGGCAGUGUCAUAUUUAACAAACACUUUUGUGAAACCCAUAGAGAGAGGGAGAAAGGAAGCAAGUAGGAGCCAGUCAACUCUGUUUAAUCGUUUCUUUUUGGUUUAACUCAUUUCCAGCCUGAAUUGUGUGUGUAAAUCUUGGGACAUACAUACAUAUAUUUUUAAAGAGGUCUUUAAAAAUAAUGAUACACCAGACUACACCCCAAAACCAGA